UACGUAGGGUGCAAGCGUUGUCCGGAAUUAUUGGGCGUAAAGAGCUCGUAGGCGGUUUGUCGCGUCGAAUGUGAAAACCCGGGGCUCAACCCCGGGCCUGCAUUCGAUACGGGCAGACUAGAGUUCGGUAGGGGAGUCUGGAAUUCCUGGUGUAGCGGUGAAAUGCGCAGAUAUCAGGAAGAACACCGGUGGCGAAGGCGGCUCUCUGGGCCUUACCUGACGCUGAGGAGCGAAAGCGUGGGUAGCGAACAGG
rnacentral:rRNA from 1 species